UACGAAGGGGGCUAGCGUUGUUCGGAAUUACUGGGCGUAAAGCGUGCGCAGGCGGCUUCUCAAGUCAGGGGUGAAAGCCCAGAGCUCAACUCUGGAAUUGCCUUUGAGACUGAGUGGCUUGAGUACGAGAGAGGUGAGUGGAAUUCCCAGUGUAGAGGUGAAAUUCGUAGAUAUUCGGCGGAACACCAGUGGCGAAGGCGGCUCACUGGCUCGUAACUGACGCUCAUGCACGACAGCGUGGGGAUCAAACAGG
rnacentral:rRNA from 1 species